GGGAAAACCGAUGUGGCAUGCUCUUCCCAGGCAACUGUGCUGGGACAGGGUCCCGCAAACGUCGCGGGAGAAAAACCGAAGACACGAGGUGCUCUCAGUGCGGUCCAACAGGCAUAUUUUAAAUAUAUGUCCCCAAGUCCAUGACUGAAGAAAAUUCUGGAAGGACUCCCAGGAAGUUAUUUCUUUUUUCUGCUUGCUGUGAUAUUGAGGAGAAAACGGUGAUGACAUCUUUUUGGCUGGAUGGAACUGAUGGAAGAUUUAUGGAGCAGCUGAGGACUGUCAGAGCCAGACCCAGCAGAUUUCCUGAGAGAAUGAUCAUGGCCUUUUCAUCAGCGAGCACACUGCCUUCUGAAAUGGUCUAACACGAGAGAGAGAGAGAGAGAGAGAGAGAGAGAGAGAGAGAGAGACCUAUCUAACCAGCCAUCAGUGAGGUUAUCCCUGUACCCCACAGCUGCUGCCACCCAAUCUGAAGGUUCCCGCUUCUGCCCUUGAAGUAUUUAUUGUAUGUGACCACACAGAAGUCCUAGCUGUCACCCACCGUCAAACCCCCUGGCCCCAGUCUGGGACCCAGAGCCCUCCAGGAGUGGGAAACUUCAUCCUAUACCUUCUCAGUCACAGGGAUUUCAGAAAUUAGUCACAGGAAGCAGGGAGGCCAAGAGUGGAGGCUUCCAAGAGGAGCCAGUAACAGGAUCUGGGGUCUUUCACCCCAGGUCACAGAAAGCUUAGACUGUCCCCAAGGUAGAGAUGAGUGGUCAAGGAUGGAACCGGCCUUCCCAAGGCCUCUGCCAGCAGCAAGAGCUUUGGAGAGAUGGAACCUAUAGCCAGGCAGUCAUCCCCUUACUGAGUGGUCUCUCCCGUAUCUCAAAUGCCUAUCCUAAUACUCUCAACUCUGAGAGACACACAAGGGGUUGAUUGGAGCCCAGAACGCAGCAUGUGUCUGAAACAGAGUCUUGACCUGAUUUCCAGCCCUCCCCUCAUGAAUGAACACUGAGACACCCUACAGCUCUGCUGCAUCGCAGAGCACUCUCGGACAUCCCAGAACUGUCACUCACAGACAUCUCAUGUGGACAAGACAGUAAAUGAUAAUCAGAUUCUAAAGGGAUGGAAAAGUUGUGGGAUGGUAGAGGCAGAAGGCACUGGGUUCAAUCCCCUAUAUGGAGAGAAAGAUGAUAGAUAGAUAGAUAGAUAGAUAGAUAGAUAGAUAGAUAGAUAGAUAGAUGAUAGAUAGAUAGAUCAAUCAGAGACUCACGCUAAAUAUCUACCAACAGAAAAUAGUUUAGGGCUGGUGAGAUGGCUCAGCAGUUAAGAGCACUGACUGCUUUUCCAAAGGUCCCGAGUUCAAAUCCCAGUCACCACAUGGUAGCUCACAACCCUCCAUAACGAGAUCUGAUGCCCUCUUUUGGAGUGUCUGAAAACAGUUACAGUGUAGUUACAUAUAAUAAAUAUAUC
rnacentral:lncRNA from 1 species